AAUAAAAAUAUAAAUAAAAUUAUAAAUACAUGUAACGCUACGCUAAAUUUACACUAAAAAAGGUUUUUGCAACAGCCAAUGAUAAGAUGCCACGUAGAUAUUUCAGGAAAACUCAGAAAGAACCGGCAUCCAUCCGAUCAAUCUGUUCCUCCGAAUCUUUCCCCCUUCCCCCAUCCCUUGUUUCCUCCGAACUGGAGAACCACCAUCGUUCUUAGAAGAUGGAAGUGGAUGUUAGCUUAGAAUGGCUUUUCAGUAUUUGUGGAAGACUGUCUAUCCAGCACUGGAAACUGCCUCCCAGUACCCACCGGUGUUCAAACCACAAGUACAACCCCAAAGCCCUUAAGACCCUUGCAGAAGACCGAACAGAACCCAGCUUCCCUGCAAACUUUUGUAGUGCCAGGCAAGGCUAGAAGCAAUAGAAAGAGGGUGGUUCUCGGGUUCGGAGGAAACAGAGGGAUGGGAGAAAGGGAAAGAUUCGGAGGAAACAGAUCGAUCCGGCUGUAUGCUGGUUCUUUUUUAAGUUUUGAAGUGCCUACGUGGCACCUUAUCAUUGACUGCCGUGAAAAUUCUUUUACAGCAUUAUAAACUUUUUAUUAUUAUUAUUUUUUAAUUUUUUAAAUUAAUAAAAAAAAGUAAAUUUUAUUAUUUA